UUCGGUGAGGAGCGGCGGACGGGUUAGUAACGCGUGGGAAUAUACCCUUCACUAUGGAAUAGCCUCGGGAAACUGAGAGUAAUACCAUAUACGCCCUUCGGGGGAAAGAUUUAUCGGUGAAGGAUUAGCCCGCGUAAGAUUAGAUAGUUGGUGGGGUAAUGGCCUACCAAGUCUACGAUCUUUAGCUGGUUUGAGAGGAUGAUCAGCAACACUGGGACUGAGACACGGCCCAGACUCCUACGGGAGGCAGCAGUGGGGAAUCUUAGACAAUGGGCGCAAGCCUGAUCUAGCCAUGCCGCGUGAGUGACGAAGGUCUUAGGAUCGUAAAGCUCUUUCGCCAGAGAUGAUAAUGACAGUAUCUGGUAAAGAAACCCCGGCUAACUCCGUGCCAGCAGCCGCGGUAAUACGGAGGGGGUUAGCGUUGUUCGGAAUUACUGGGCGUAAAGCGUACGUAGGCGGAUUGGAAAGUAGGGGGUGAAAUCCCAGGGCUCAACCCUGGAACUGCCUCCUAAACUAUCAGUCUAGAGUUCGAGAGAGGUGAGUGGAAUUCCAAGUGUAGAGGUGAAAUUCGUAGAUAUUUGGAGGAACACCAGUGGCGAAGGCGGCUCACUGGCUCGAUACUGACGCUGAGGUACGAAAGUGUGGGGAGCAAACAGGAUUAGAUACCCUGGUAGUCCACACCGUAAACGAUGAAUGCCAC
rnacentral:rRNA from 1 species